GCACGGAGCAAGGGGCACUCUCACAGACGAAUGUCUACUUGCUUCGCUGGGUUGAGCAUCGUCGCAAGCCUCGGCACCCCCAAGCCGUCCUCCGCCUCCGCACGCCCCAGGCUCAUCAGGAACGCGCCCGUCUUCGCCGCCGCCACCGCCGUCGUGGUACGUACGUGCAUGCAUCGAUCAAUAAUGCAUGGGCAUGGGCUCACUACUGUACCGCACUGCACCGACCACAUUGUACAUGCAUGCAUGUCUAUCCACUUUCUCUUUUCAGUGACCAUGAGCCUGAGCUGUGUAACUAACAAGUUGGCACGUGUCCAUGUCCUUGCUAUUAUCGGCACGUCACACGGCUCUUCACGAAAUGCACUACUGCAAAAAGCAAAAGCCUCCCUUGUCCCUUCCCACAAUCUCGGAGGUUGGUAGCGUACAGACCAGGACUUUCUGAAACGAAACAGAAUCCAAGUGCCACGCGAGUGUGCAAAACGGACCACACGGUCAACUAAUGAUGCACCUUGCAUUGCCACCUUUGGUUAAUUCUUCAAGCUCAAACCACACUUUUCCUGCUACAGAAACAUACGUGUGCCAUUGCCCUCAAUAACAAUAGAUUUUUUCCUUAAAAAAUAAACGUUCGUGUCUUUUCCUAAGAGCAUGGAGGCGCCGCACUGUUCCGUUGUACCAAGAGCCAAUAACAAGGCCCAGUCUGCAAAUGCGGCACGCCAUAACCCAUAACCUCAUGUUCUACCCCUCCGUUUCUAUUUAUAAGGCAUGACAUAACUUAGCACAGUCUUCCAAAUUACACUUUGACCAUUCAUUUAUCUUAUAUCAUAUUAUUUAUGGUUAUAAACUUAUGAUCAUUGUAAAGUUUAUUUAAUUACGCAUCCAACCAUAUAAAUUUUAUAUUAUAAAAAUAAAAAAUUGGUAGUUAAAUUGCUAGUUAAAGGUUGUAAAGUUUGAAUCUAGAUAUGUGCAUGCCCCUUACACAUAAAAUUUCAUUUCAACCAAUCAUUGCAUAGUAGUAUAUACCAGGUCAUACUUUUUCUCCUGCUAAUCUAAUCAUUUCCCCGUCCACCAGUAGCAACAUCAACAUGCAUGUCAACCACUGCACCCCGCAAUAGAAUAGUCGGGAAGGGAGGGGGUUUCCAAAGAGGUGGCCAAUGAUGGUGCUAGUUUAAAGGCCACAGCUAGAUAGAUGCUUUGGAAAGAAUAUAUAUAAUUCCCCAAAAGUCUCAAGUUUCAGGGAAGAAAGAUGCAAGUACACUUGCUUAGGCGUGUAAUGGGUGGCCUUUUCCCUAAACAAAGCGAUAAGGUGGGGAGUAGGGUCGUCAGUGGACUCGUUGCAUGAUGAUAGCAACUCCACACAAAACAGUUAAACAGAAGAUGUGGAGAGCUAGCCCCCAUCCGUCUUUUGGCUUUUCAGUUCCGUUUUGAACCAUCACGCAUCAAGAAAUCCAAUAACCGACCAUCUAUCAAUUUAAGCUUUAUAGUGCGCGUCAACGUUAGCUUUUUCUCUUUAGUAACGCCCAUGAUUUCCCGCGUUGCUUUUGCUCACUGUUGAGUUUUUUGCAGACAGAGCAACGAACUACCCACCAAGAGAUUCCUUGCAACUUCACAAAAGAAAAAAAAAAUCUUCCUUUUCAUCAGUAUCUGGGAGGGGGGAAAGAACUUUGCUACGUAUUGAACCGGUGGAAAAAAAAAGGUUACAGUUCUCUGUGGUAAACUGGCAGUACUUAGUACUAGUAGUAACCAAGUUUGUUAGCGCUAGGCAGUAGGAGGAGCCCAGAUUUUCGUUGCCUUCACCUCAUCACGCUGAUGCGAGGCGCACGGCUUGACACCGAUCGCACCAUGACUCGGGUGGUGCAUGCAGUCCAAACCUGUCGUAGGCUAUAGCGGCUGCCAUUAGAUAUGCACUAGAUACACGCGAAAAGGAAAUAGUAGAAUAGCUAGCCCCAAAGGGAACCUCAUCCCUUCGAUGGUUGAGCAAGCAACCGUUGCAUGUGGAGUAUAUUUAAAAGUUCACGAUUAGUGCUAGUGGUUCCUCAUUAGUAGACCGUCAUGAUGAUCGAUGAGUAAGCACGGCAGCCUAACAUACCGGAUUAGGAGGGCGCAUCAGGGGGACAAGGUCUCGAUGAGCUGAGCUCGACUGCAAGAUCAGUCUCCAAUAAUUUAGGAGCUGGUCCGUGGUCCGGGCGGUUGGCACUGGUGAAGGGAGUAAUUUAGGCGAGCCGAUAAGGAAGAUUCGGUCCCCAAGGCCGUGCCAUUGGUGCCCCGUCGUCCGGCGAUGCGACGAGCUAAAACGACCUCUUCUCUGAGAGUGAUUACCCCAUGGGGAAGUAGAGUAGCAGCCCCGUAGGCAGGCAGAUGGCAGUCUGGCAGAUCUGGGUGAGUGGGCAUCGAGAUUCCUUGGUUGUGGGAAACAACCCCUGGGGAAACGUUUUCUCGAUCGGGGUGUGGGGGAGGCAGCAAAAAGGAAAGGUUCCCGCAGCCAGCAACCUGGCCGUGGCCGGCGCCACUUGUGCUUUCGCUCUCCGUACCCGCAGCUGUGCCUCCCAUCGCAGAGCGUCAUCUGCCCAGUAGCAUAUGGUCAACUGGUCCCUCCAGCCUUGGCCUCAGCAGAUGACGAGUGCCCGUUUACCUCUUGAGCUCCUGGCCGAACUUUUCAGUCCGAAUGACUCUUGGGGUUGCCUGACCUUUUUCGUACACCAAUAAACAUUUUUUCUUCUAGAGCACCUGAUUUCAUCGGCUCAACUCAAAAGCAGAGUUGAGCACACGCGUCCGCGUCACAUACAGAUCACGGGCGCCUAAGAAUUAAUUCAACGACAAAAAGGGGAUAAGGCUGUUGCCGUUCCGUCCACAGAAGCCGCACUCACUCCCCCAUUACCAUUACUACUGCUGAUUUUUCUCCUGCACGCUCUCGCUCACGCUAUUAUUGCACGUGUCAUGUUGCUAGUAAGCCGACGAACGAGAAGCUCAUCAAAAAGUCAGACGAGAGAGAGGCGAGGAGUAGUAGCAUCCAAGCCGGCCGGCCAUAGGAAGAGGAGAAGAUGAGCGGGUGCCUUUGCCUCCCUAAAAAGAAGGAGGGGGUCUCCGCAGCGAAGCAGUCCAUAAAUUCCCCCGCCUCGUCACUCCUCCAGAACCAGAAGCCCACCCAACCUCCACCUCCUCCUUCCAAGAAGGUCCGUUCCCCUCCUCCCUUCUCCGUCCUUCCUCCUGCAGUAAUCCCCAUCCAUCCGUCACUCUUCUUUUUCCUCUCUUGCCCCCAUCGCUCAGUAGCACAGCGGCUGCAGCUGCCCUUUUCUUCACCCCCUUUGUGCUGCUGCAAAGCAGAUCCCUGCAUGGCUGCAUCCCUAUCCCCAUUUUAGAUCACCUUUGCGCAUGCUCCCUUGUGGUCUGUGCGCAAGGAGGCCAGAAAAUUUCUUCUUGUCCCUGUCCCUCUCCCUCUCUCCCUCUCUCUCUCUCUCUCUCGAACUGCAUCACCAGCAUACAGGGUAGUGCCUUGGUGGGGAUGGCUAACUGACGAUUUGUGUCUGAUCUUUGGUUGCAGGGCAUGGACGCCGUCGAGCGCUUGAAGAGCGGGUUUGACAAGUUCAAGACCGAUGUCUAUGAGUAAGUCACCAUCAAUUGCCCCGCGUUCGAUUUCAGUUUCAUGGCGCUUGAUUUGCUUCGAGAAUUUUGGGACCUCCCACUGACGACCCUGCUUUGCCCCCCGUGGAAUUUCCUCCUCGCAGCAAGAAGCCGGAGCUGUUCGAGCCGCUCAAGGAGGGCCAGGCACCCAGGGUAUGUGCUUCCUUCUCCGCCCUAUCUCAUCACCCUUGUAGACUGCUAAGAUUUUUGUCUGGAGCGGCUCCGGCCGGCUGGAAUCCUCGUCAGAAAUCAUGGAAAGCUUAAUUUAGCCAAACCGCGUUCAGUAACUUGGGUUCCCGUGGGGUCCGGGCAACGCCUGGUUGGCUGGCCCACAGAUUUGGUAGUACCUAGUACGUCCUGGUUGCCCAGGCGUCCAGUUAGAAGCAAGCUCUGAACAGUGUCGCUGGUACUAGCUCACCAUCAGGAUCCCUGCAUUACAUUCUCGUUUGCAUCUCCCAGGCAACCCUGCUGCCAUCCGUUACUGUUUCAUUUGCCGAGGUCAGAGUCGUGGUAGACAAGCGGAAACGGCUUGUCCUAAUUGCAUGACUUAACACUGACGGGGACAGCUUGUCUCCAUUAGCGGCCAGUGGCCCGUGAUCAGGUUGGAGAAACUGAAACUGUUCUUGUUGGACGAGCCUGCUCCACGGGGCACAGCCUUUUCAACUGUGCAGAGAGAGAUUGUAGUGGAUAGCAACCACCCAGGCACUAAAACAUGCGCACGGCGAGUGCAUCCCCAUGUGCAGGCCAUGUUGGUGAUUUGGGCGUUGGCCUUGUAAAUUAUUGAGAGAGAUGUCGCCGUCCCUGUAUAGGCUCACUUUCUGGACUGGUGGUGGGUGAUGAUGGAUAUAGUAUAGUCUUAUUUCCUUCUCGUUCCUAGUAUAAACCUGCUGCCAGAAUCUCGCAAGUACAGAGUUUUAUUGUUUUCUUUAUGGGGGUUCUUGGCUGGCAUCGAUCCCAUGCGCCUAAUUACUCCAUGCAUGCUGUAGUUAGCUGGUUCCAGGCCCAAGUAGUCUAGUAAUUUUAUUUGCAAAAAAAAGUGGUUGGCGUCUUAAUCGGUCUGUGGGAAACUAAGAACUAGCAACUAGCCGUGUUGAAUUCAAAGUUCAGACUAGUUGAAUUUUGUCAAGGUCUCCUGCAUCGUUUUUUUUUUUUUUUUGGGGGGGGGGGGGGGGGGGGGGGGGGGGGGGGGAGUAUAGUGCUCUAGUCCAUCAUUACACUAUAUGGUGGUGGUGAGUAGGCAUUUCAGAUGUCUCAUCGUUUUGAAAGUUCUUUUUGACGCUGCACAAAUCAUACACUAAAAAGUGACGUGAGCUCCAAGUUUCCAUGGCUAUGAAUAGAAUGGAAAUGCAAGGUGAGCCAUGCCCACAUAGACAGGUGAUAGGUCCAGGAUCCCAUCAUUCCAUGGCUAAACGUGUGGUCCAGCCAUGAUUGAGCACAGGCCCUACCUGGCAGCUAGCAACCUGUCCUGUGGCUGUGGCGCACUGGUUCCUCACCUCAUAGAAUUCGUUCUUCAUCAGCAUGUAGAAGAGUAGUUGGUUUGAGCGUGUCCUCUAUUCCCAGCCAUUGCGAAAAGUUAGGGGCAUAAACAUUGGCCAGUGCAUGUUGCUUUAGCCUUCAGAACAUUUGUGUAUUCGCAUCCAUAUCUCACUGGCCAUGCUGAUCCUUGAAAUAUAUGCUAUACUAGACACGUCUCAAAGUGUAUAAAGAGCAGAAGAUGAUUGCAUCACGCCAUGCCCCUUGCCCCCUUUCCAAACCCUGGCCUCCCAAGUGUGAGCUAAUCCAAAUAGGAACGAGGUUCCUUUUCCUAAUCAUCCAUGGACAUCGUGUCCGUCCAUCCAUUGUGGCUGCUCUUGUCACCAAGCUCAAUCUGCAGUGUGGAUUUGGCAGUUUUGAUCCGGCCUUUUGCAUGCAAAUUGUUCUCGGUUCAUGCAUGCAGGCUCGCCUUUUGCGUGUCAACUUGCCCGGAAAUAUUCUUGCUUUACGCUUGCGGCUUCCUCGCCGGGAAUGGGAUCACGUUUUGUUUCUGGCCCGUUGAUCGCCCCGGGAGCCACAUGAAAGUCGGCGUAGAAUAUCCUCGUUUCGAGUAGUAGCAGGGAACCUUCCUGCUUGGCUUUUGUCCAUCCUGCCCCCCUGGUAAAAAGUGGCUCGGAACAGAGACAACCAGGAAAUUUUUCAAAAACAGAGACAGCCAGGUCAAAAGCGGUAGCCUUUUUCGAGCGCAGUGGUACCAGCAUGCAAUCCAGCAGAGCCACCAGAAUCGUGUACUCCACCGAUCAGCGCCGAUCUGCCUACCUGCUUAUCGAUAAGAGCCGUGGGGGGCGUGAGAUGUCCAUUAGCGAUAAGACUGAUUAAGCGUGCUCUUUUCGUUAACCUGAUGCUUGAUUUUUCUUCUCUUUUGUUAAUGAUGCUGAUUUCCCCCUUUUGUCAACGCUAUGCUGCAGUACAUGGUGUUUGCCUGCUCCGACUCCCGUUGCUGCCCGUCGGUGACCCUGGGCCUGCAGCCCGGCGAGGCCUUCACCGUCCGCAACAUCGCCGCCAUGGUCCCACCUUACGACAAGGUAAACACUGUCUGACUGACUGACGCAUGGACAUCUGUGUUUUUUCUUUUGUUUGGCCGGCCAUGACCACUGGUGUGUCUUUGCCUGUCGACUGCUGCGUGCGCAGACCAAGUACACCGGCAUUGGGUCCGCCAUCGAGUACGCCGUCUGCGCCCUCAAGGUGGAGGUCCUCACCGUCAUCGGCCACAGCCGCUGCGGUGGCAUCAAGGCGCUCCUCUCCAUGAAGGACGGCGCACCUGACAACUUGUAAGUAACGGUGGAAUUAAGUUACAGCUUUGGAUCGAGGAACCUAUCCUGCAGCUUGGUGUUUCUGACUCGAGUACUAUCUCUUUAAUCAGCCACUUCGUCGAGGACUGGGUCAGGAUCGGCUUCCUCGCCAAGAAGAAGGUGCUGACCAACCAUGCCUCGGUUCCGUUCGAUGACCAGUGCACCCUCUUGGAGAAGGUAUGUUUGAGCUACUCAAUUACCAUGGCGAUCUUACUUUCCCAUACAGUAGCAGUGUUUGCAGUGCCAAUUGCAUCUACACGUGUGUACUGCCUGGUCUGCAUGAAUAUCGAAUUGGUUUGCUCAUGAAAGGAUCCUGCAUUUCUGAAUAUUUUUGCAGGAGGCCGUCAACGUGUCCCUCUACAACCUCCUGACCUACCCCUGGGUGAAGGAAGGUGUGGCCAACGGGACACUCAAGCUGGUCGGCGGCCACUACGACUUCGUCAACGGGGUGUUCUCCGUGUGGGAGAAAUAAGCCACCCGGUUUAUUCAUCAUACAUACAUACCGAAAUAAUGCAUCCAAUCGAUGUGAAUGCAUGAGUACUUACUACCUAUUUUCGGCCGCUACAUAUAUAUCAGAUCGGCCGAUGUGAAUGUAAUAAGAUAUAGCAUUUUCUACCGCUUUACGACUUCUAUGUACUAUAUGAUGCGUAAUUUGGCCGCCUUGUGGUCAAAAGACAUCAGCUAUGUAUAAGCCGUUUUACUACCAUGGCUAUGUAUAAUUUCAUAAUAUUUUCGUCAAGAGUUUACCUUUUACUACCCCUUCAUGUUGGCUUCUUUGUCUGUCCCCUUCCUGGUUGCUGAUGCAGUAUUUUUAUGUGAUAACAAGAAUAAUUUUGUAUGCAUUAGUAGCUUAACUCAAGAUAUUAUAUAUUCCUCGGUAGAGGGAGUAUCAUUAUGACUACACUUUAUGCUGGAAAAUGCACGUCUUGAAGAAGAAAGUCAAUAUUACAAUGUAAAGGAACGGUAAACUAGAAUAAUGCCAUAGUUUUCCCCCUCCUCCUUUCCUUUUAAGGCUAAAAGCCUUAACCACUGUACAUACAUUCUUUUUCACAUGUAUAUACAAAAAUAUGAAUAGGGGCCUCUCCUGCCGUUCCCUAAAAAAAAUGAUCCUAAAUAAUAACUAAGCUGCUUCAUUACUUCAAAAAAACUUCUUCAGACAUUUCUUAAUGCAAAAUCAUUAAGAACAAUAUCAAGAUCAAUGCUAUACAUGAAAGUAAAUAAUUGUUACUGGAUUUCAAUGUCUAAAACUAAAGAUCUAACAUACUAAAUGAAUGAUUAAUGAAUUAACAAAUAAGUCAAUAAUUCACGCGCGAUGAUGGACGACAAUUCGGCGUCAGAUGUACUUGAUGUUGCCGGCGUUGAGUCGAGGAUGAGAUUGAUGUGUUGAUCGCUGACGCCUGAGCCGCGUAGGGCUUGCAGAUUGGGCCUCAAGGGGUCGGGCUGUCGGGGAUAGCAGAUUCGUUGUGAGCUGUGAUUGUGACACAGUCACGCAGAACGGCCGCCACCCGGCCCCCUCGUCUCCUCGAUUGCGGCGGCGAAUAGACGAAAGAGGAUUCAUCUUCGUGCGCAUGCCUCCUGACUGCCUGCAUGCUGAGAGCGCUGCGCGGCCGGACUCUCCAGCCUAGAGGCCUGCUCAACAGGGGUCUUUUUUUUUUUCAGCAAGUUACCGAGGGGUAUCCUGAGGUAGUAGAUUGGUUGGUAGGGGAUCGUCGGAUCUGAAACUCGAACGUAAAAGUGAGGACACAACACACCGAUUUAUACAGGUUUGGCCGCCAAAGUAGUGUAAUACCCUACGUUCUAUUUGGGGUGUUGUAUAUUGCGCCCUACGUUUGAGUAUUGUUUGGUGUUGAGGAUUUUGUCCUCUGUUGUGGUUCUAUGAGCUCUUCGCCUACCGAUCUAGGAACCCCUACCCUCCUUUAUAUAAUCCAGGGGGGAUUACUAGUCGGUUAUAAGGAAGAGUCCUAGUAGGAUUACAGCGUAUGAGUCUUAGUAGGAUUAUAGGGGAAUCCUAAUAGGAGUCCGUCUUCUUCCUUCCUUGCGGGUACUGGGGAUUUAUCCUCGACAAGCUCCCGAGCGCUUCAUAGUCAAAUGCAGUAGUCUUCGAGUACUUUUCAGAUCCUCGCUGAGUAGUUUUAGUGCUCCUCAAGUACUUUAUCUGGUUAAAUCUUCAAAGUUCCUCAAAACUGUCAUGAGUCUAUGGGUUGCUCAAGCCCUUGAUCGACUUGAUUUUAUAAUCUUCAUUGUGACAUGUAGGGCGGCGAAAGUUGCACUCCAUAUGAAGUAGCCCCUGAGCCUUAGGUUAAAUCGAAAAAGUAGGCUGAAGGUUAAUAAAAUCUUAAAUCUUCUUCUUUCAUCUUGAAAAAUCAACUGUUAGGUGUAGCUUAUCAGCCCCCGAGCCUUGAAAUGAUUAAAUAAUUAAUUCAAGGGUCUUUAGUCUUCACGCAAGUCGUCUUUCGAGUAGUCAUUUGGUGUCCAGCCCCCAAGCUUAUGUGCCAAGUAAGCCAUAGGAGCCACGUCGAUUAGUUAUUUGGCGCUUAGGCUCCGAGCUUGGAAACUAGUUGAGCCAUUGAAGAUAUUUCGAGUAGUAAUUGGUGCUUAGCCCCCAAGCCUGGGAACCAUUGGAGGUACGGUGAACGUCCUAGAGAGUCGUCGUCGAAGUUUGACCUGCAAAAAGAGAUGCAUACAUUAUGUAGCAUAUUGUAGAAUUUGGAACUACUGAAAUUUAUUCAGUGAUGAAUAUAAUGUAAAUGUUGUGUGUCAUGUUCUUGUUUCGGCCAUAUUUUUCCCGAGUAGCUAUUCUAUUACGUUUAGGCUCUCAGUCCCUAUUUAACUAUUGCCACUGCGUGUGAGAUCUUUGUCUCCUGUACGUGUAUUGGCACUGCUGCUACGCGUUUGAAAUCUUUGUCCGUGUACGUGUCCUAGCGUUUAGGCAUGACAAAAGAUUCGAGAUUUUCACGAAUUAAGGCGUGUUCUGCUCGAGAAGAUUAACAACCGCUAAGACAAGACAUUUAAAAUAAGUAGUCGGUAUUGCAAUAAAAAAAUUGCAUGAUUGCGCGUAAAGUAGUCAUUGAGACUUUUCUACCUUUUUGGCGAGGAGAGCGCGUGUUUGCCGCAUAUAGAAUUUGUGCCUCACUAGGGUGUAGCCGUUGUGAGCCUCCAGCACUUAGUGCACCAAACUUCGUGGCAGAACCUCCUAAUUCAGUGUACCAAGCCUGUGGUGAAGCUUUCGGAACUCGGUGCACCAAACCCGUGGCGGUAGCCUACAUAAUUCGGUGUACCAAGCCCAUAGCUGUCGGGCAACAUGCCCCAGGAAUAAUUGGCAAGUGUAGCUCUGGAGGGUAAUUUCCGUCAAGAGUCGUACGCAAAAAAGUACUCAGCACGUUGCCCUGCAUGCGGAAAACAAUCCAGAAAAGUUAUAUGAAAUAAUUAAAAAAGUGACUUAGCUUGAUUUGUGGACGAUUGUCAACAAAGCCAUGUCGAUUGUUGAUGAAGCCAACUAGUCGGAGUCGAUUCCGACUAGUUGUUGAUCGCGUGGAACCCGCCCUCGACUAGUUUUGUAGUUGAGAUGAGUAGUUGAAGUAGACCGUCCUCGACUAGUUUUCUAGUCGAGACAAGUAGUCGAAGUAGUCGUCGGCGACUUGAUGCGGCCGGAUGUCGGGGUAGCGGUGCUCGCGUACGUCUUCUAUGUACGUUAGGUUAUGAUUUUGAGAUCUUGUGGUAGCCUUUCAUGUGCGUGUAGCACAAAUCCCUCAAAGUUGCUUUUCACGGAGAGUACUCGGAGCUGAUUAUUUGCCUCACUCUGCGCGUGAUUGUAACAGAUCUUUGUCAUUUGGGGAAUUAUGACGUGGGUCCCUCGAUCUGCCUAAUCUCUCAACUCGAAUCGGAUUUGCCUCUACCUUGAUCGAAGAGCCGCAUGCCUACGGCGGAAACCGACUCGGUUUUCGACUAGAACGCGGAGCGCAUCGAUUCUGUGUCGGCGUAGAUUUGUCUGGUCGGAACUCCAACUCGGCAAUUUACUUCCUGUUGUGUAGAUUGAUCUUGAUGAUGAGGUCCUUCAAGCUCGCCCGAUGAUCUCGACGAUCACCCCUACCUAGCGCGCCAAAUGUCGGUGUUUUAUACCCGGCAACAUACCAAGGGGUUUCCUGAGGUAGUAGAUUGGUUGGCGAGGGAUCGUCGGACCUGGAACGCGAAGGUAAAAACGAGGACACAAGACGCAGAUUUAUACAUGUUCAGGCCGCCAGAGUAGCGUAAUACCCUACGUCCUGUUUGGGGUGUUGUAUAUUGCGCUCUGCGCUUGGGUGUUGUUUGGUGUGGAGGAUUUGGUCAUCUGUUGUGGUUCUAUGAGGUAUUCGCCUAUCGAUCUAGGGACCCUGCCCUCCUUUAUAUACUUCAGGAGGCGGGAUUACUAGUCGGUUAUGAGGAGUCCUAGUAGGAUUACAGGGUAUGAGUUAUAAGAAGUCCUAAUAGGAUUAUAGGGUGUGAGUCAUAGUAGGAUUAUAUGAGAAUUCUAGUAGGAAUCCGGAUCUAUCCCGACACCCUCCUAGCAUGAGCCCCUCGCCGUGGCUUCUGAUGCAUAGGGCUAAAGCUGGGCCUUUGUGGGGCACGGCGAUGGCGUGGCUUUGAUGAAUCAAGGAAGCGGCGGAGGAUGGGUAGAAAUUCCAAUAUUUAACACCCAAUACGCUCUCACUGAAUUUGAUAACUAAUUUGUAGGCCUUUUAUUUGAAAUUUGACACCGGGCUACGAAUCUGGUGUUUCUCCUCCCUUUUGUCUUCACUUUUUUUAAGAAAAAUCAAACAAAGGUACUAAUAAUUUUUUUCAAGCUUACCAUUCCGGGAAAAAAAAAGGAAAAAUCUAGAGUGUCGUAUCCUGGGUACAUAGUUUACCUGUGCCUGCUGUUCAGUCCAGCCUACCGCUUUCCCUCUGCUCGUCCCCGCCGGCUCCGCCACCGGCACACGUCGCGACUCGCGAUCCCUGCCCACCGCGCCGUUUAUUACCCCAUCUCUCUCGAGUCUCCAUCAUGCUCCUUGUACUCGUUUCCCGGCAGCCGGAUGGCACCCCAGCCCCGGCGCCACGCGCGCCCGCGCCUGCCCGGAGCUCCCAUCAGCCGGAGGUCAAGGCGAAGGCUUGGACCUUUGGGAGCUCGGUGGGUUAGUGGUGUACGUGUGUACCUGUCCAUCUGUCCGGUACAAGAACACGUCCCGGUCUGGACUGGUUCGCCGUUUCACGCAUCCAUCCGUCCAGCUGCACGACCGUCGACCGCCCGAGGAGGGGAGCAGGCCGGAAAAGAAGGUGAGCCGCUGCUUCCCGUGCCUCCCCCUCCUAUAAAAGGACCCCCAGGGAGGCAUGGACGGGGCAGCAGCUCUACAGCGAACCAAGCCUUUCUUCUACAGUCUUCUCAAAUCCUCGAGAACCAGAGGUCCACCCACCUUCUCCUCCACCGCACAAAGGUCAAUCCCCCUCCCUCCUCCAUCCAUCCUCCAUGCAUCGGACCAUCUUCUUUUCCUUUAUAGGCUAGUCACUCACGAUUCGCAUGAUUCUCUCUCUCUCCUCCUCAAGAAAUCCCGCAUCAGGCGAUCCUGUUGUGGACGCAUGGUACGGUAGUGCUCACGACAUGAUCUGUGGUUCUUGCAGGCCAUGGCGGACGCCGUCGAGCGCUUGAAGACCGGGUUCGAGCAGUUCAAGGCCGAUGUCUACGAGUAAGUAAUCCGAGCCGCUAGCUAUUUUCUGAAGCCUUCUGCUCCAUGAUUCAUGCAUGGUGACGGUGCGGAGUGAAUUGACCUUCUGACGAUCUGUCUCCUGUCGGCAGCAAGAAGCCGGAGCUGUUCGAGCCGCUCAAGGCCCACCAGUCCCCCAAGGUAUGCGCUGUCAUGUCCUCCGAUAAUCCUUGUGGAGUAGCGAAAUGUUCCGUCCUGCGUGUUCUUGUUAUACUCGCCAGAAAUUUCCGAAGCUGUAGCCAGUUUCUGAAUCCGGUAGAUUUUGCAAAGUCUCGCGGGGAUCUGGAUUGGCAACCAUCUCCUAGUAUCACAUCGGGAAUCACGGGUCCCCAUUUGCCACCUACCCUGCCGUUGUCCGUUGAUCUAGCGGCCCUAUCCGCGUACAACGCCGGCGUGCGUGUGUGCACACAGCAUUUGGUCUGGGUCAAAGUUGACAAAAUGGGAAAGAAAAAAUAAGUGAUAGAAGUCUGCUCUAAUACGUAUGCUAGAAUAAAGAAGUUCAUAAAUAGUAGUAUAUAGCUAUACCAGCUGUAAGAAAUUAAGAACACUACAUAUAUGGCAUCUAAAUAUACUUAUAGAUGGACCAACAUAAAAAAAAAUAUCAGAUAGAUACGUAGUACUCCCUCUCCCCGUUCCAAAUUAUAAGUCGUUUUGGCUUUCUAGGUGCAUAGUUGCUAUGCACCUAGAUAUUGUGCAUGUCUAGAUGCAUAAUAAUAUAUAUGAAUCUAGAAAAGCCGAAAGGACCUAUAAUUUGGAAUUUGGAAACAUUUAAUCUUAUCUAGUUAAUUUAUACAUUUUUAAAUAAAGAAAAUGUUUCCAAAAAAAAGUUAGAAAUGCUUAGCCGAAAAUAAUCUUAAUUAAAUAGACAUGUUGUGAUGGGAGGAGUAGUAUAAAAGAACACAGUUUGAUGUGGACUCUAAACUGUAUGACUGGAAAUGUUGAAUGCUCCAAGUUGCGCCCCGAACUAAAGAUUCCAUACGUUUUCUAGCCACGGUCCAUCUUGUCUUCACUCGCAAGUAAAGUAGGCACGAACGAAAGGCCAGGCUCCUGUUGCUGUUAAUCAGCUCCUAUCACCCGCGUUUGCCCCUUUGGUGGGAGCUAGGAAGAGGCUGAGAGCAAUGGCCGUCAGGUCAAAAGUAGCAGCCUUUGUUUUCGUAUCGCACACGUACACACUCUACCGACGCUGAAUGUUCUUCUCUGCCGCUGAUGGUUGGCCUGCAGUACAUGGUGUUCGCCUGCUCCGACUCCCGCGUGUGCCCGUCGGUGACCCUGGGCCUGCAGCCCGGCGAGGCCUUCGCUGUCCGCAACAUCGCCAGCAUGGUCCCACCCUACGACAAGGUACGCUUCCGCACGGACACACGCCUGCUAAUUCUGCCACAUGUCGCCGCCACUUGGCGGGCAUCGACGCCGCCUCGACAGCUGACGUGUCACUGCCUGUCGACUGCUGCGUGCGCAGACCAAGUACGCCGGCGUCGGGUCCGCCAUCGAGUACGCCGUCUGCGCCCUCAAGGUGGAGGUCAUCGUCGUCAUCGGCCACAGCUGCUGCGGCGGGAUCAAGGCGCUCCUCUCGCUCCAGGACGGCGAGGCCGACAAGUUGUAAGCGACUGAAAAGAAGAUUCAGAAAACGAUGGCGUUGAAACUGAAUUAUAUGUGUAUCUUAUUGCAUCGUUAUUGUUUGACUCGAGCAUGUAUGUUCUCUCUGUUGUUUGAUUACCUGUUCAGCCACUUCGUCGAGGACUGGGUCAGGAUCGGCGCCCCCGCGAAGGCGAAGGUGCAGGCCGACCACGCCUCAGCUGCUUUCGAGGACCAAUGCUCCAUCUUGGAAAAGGUACGCUUUGAAUUGAAAGAUUUCUCUUGGAUCUUCAUCUUGAAGACUACGUAGCUCGAACGGAACGAUUUGCUCAUGGAGUGUUUUAUUGGAUUUCUGAAUACUUCAUCUUGCAGGAGGCCGUCAACGUGUCCCUUGAGAACCUCAAGACCUACCCGUUCGUCAAGGAAGGGCUGGAGAAGGGGACCCUCAAGCUGGUCGGCGGCCACUACGACUUCGUCUCCGGCAAGUUCGAGACAUGGGAACCCUAAGAGGCCAACCAGGCCAGUACACCAUAUACCUACAAAUAUGCUCCCGAUCGAUAUAUAUGACUGCGUGGAGCACAACUAAUUCGCCCCUAUACAGCCAUACCGUAUUGCUCUAUGUGGACUGUAAUAAGCGAUGCAAAUUUCUACCGUGGAGGAUUUAUUUGUUUUUUUUUUGUAAUGUAUGAUGCAUAAUUUGAUCGAUCUGUGGUCAAAAGACAUCAGCUAUAAUGAUCUUUUCAUUAAUAUUAUCAUGAAGAGAGAAAAUAGUUUACCUUUUUAUGCUACCUCUCUUGCUGUUCCCCAACUUUAAUUCUGACUCUUUCUUAAAUGUUGAUGACUUUUCUUUUGCCACGACGUGCUCUUGGGUUUAGCAAUUAUGUCCCUGAUUUCCACAGGAUGUAGCUGCCAACGUUGCAAUCCUGCUUUAUUGAAUAAAUCUCCUGCCAUUUGUCCUAAAAAAAAGUAUCUUUUUGGUUGAUUUGUUCAGAGAACACUGAAAACAACUUCAUACACUGCAUACGAAUCAAGAAACGUUAAAAACGAAAGCGAAAUACCAACAUCUUUGCAACAAGAUUUAUGAAACAAGACACAUACUUAAUAUGUUUUGAAGUUAUUUUAUACAAUUGUCAAUUUAUGUUGAUACCAGUUUAUUUACAAACUGUAUAUCAACUUAUAGCGUAUUUUGGAUGUAUCAAAUCCACUAGUUUAUCUAGAGGAAAAUAACGCAAGGACAAAUAGCAAGUUAUGCUACACAAUGCAAUAACUUGUACGUCUAUUACACCUUUAACUUCCACAACAAUUUCGUGUCAAUUUAUUAAUAUCAAAUUCGUAAAGAAUUUGUGACAACUUCUAUAUCCUUAAAACUUAUGCAACGAUAAUGCGACGACUUAUAUAGGGACAAUGUACCAAUUUAUGUAGAGAUAAUGUAGCGAUUUAUGUAGACACUUCAUAUACGUAAUAACAUCUUGUAAAAUUAUUUUUUAGCAAUUUAUUUAUAUAGUUUAUUAAUAAGUGACACAUGUGUAGCUACACACUUAAUACAUAUCUAACUACUGCACAUCAACAUAAGUUGCAAACACAUAAACACUUUUUUGAAAUAUAUGCAUCACGCAUAUAGUUUUAUAGAACUUAUCGCAAUGAAUAAGGUAGUGCAAACGGAAAUUCUAACAAGCACUCCAAGAUAAAAUUACCAUAUUUUAAAAAAUAUGAAUGCUUACUGAAAAACUCUAAUUUAGCAUCUCCACGCCGUGAUCCACUUCGACAUCUACCUCAGCCUAUGUGCAUGCUCAGUCCAAAUUGAAACAAAUUAUUGCGGAUCAAAUUAAUUGACAGUGGUGGUCCGUCAAAACCGGGUGCAUACCGUGCGGGGUCUGCUGGUUGGUAGCUUGGGUCAGGCCGCACGGCGUUGUGUGCUCCGUGGAUGCCUACCUGUCGCAUAGCCAUCUGUUGUGCGCAUAGGUAGGAGUGGAAUUCAACCCGGAAGCAAUUUGGCCCAUGAAGUGAAGAAGAAGCCGGCCCAUAUUCAUUGUUAACUGCUACUUUCACCUUUUGUGGAGGUAAAUGAGGUCCACUGUAAUAGACUUUUUCUUGUUUCCUUCCUCCUUCCUUUUUCCUUCUCUUUUUAUUUUUAUUUUUUCUAUCUUUUAUUUUCUUCUCAUUUUACUUUUAUUUUUGGUAAUAAUAACCUUUAUUACUUUUCUCAUAUUUAAUUUUUUAAAUCUACUUUUUCAUUUUUGCUUUUACUUUUUCGUUCUUAUUUUCUUUUCUUUUGGUAACACUAAGUUUUCCUUUUCUUUAUAAAAAAUUUUCUUUUAUUUUUCUAUAUAUUUAUCUUUUUUAUUUAUUUUUUCAUUUUAUUUCCCUUUUUUUCUUUUCAUUUCUGUACCACUAGCUAUGUCCUCCCUCCGUAUCAAAAUAUUUGUCGCUACUGAAUUUUUCUCACAACUUUUGACUAUUCUUAUUAUUCAAAAUUUAUUGCAAAUACGCGACAAGAUAAGUGAAGCUUAUAAUACAUUUGAUGGUAUUAUAAGUCACAAACAAAAUGAAUGAUACUUACAUAAUUUUUUGAAUAAGACAAAUGGUCAGCAACGAAUGGUAUUCGUAAUUUUACAUAAUGAAUGAGAAAGUCAGCAACCACAAAUAUUUCGAUACACAGGAAGUUUAUAAUUUUGUUCGUAUGUAAAAAAUAUUUUUCACGAUGUGUAUAAAAUUAUUUGUUCCCAUAUGGAGCCAUUUUAUAGAUUAAUUUAUUCAUGAUGUAGACUUAUUUAUUCAUUUUAUAGACUAAACUAAUCAAUUAUGUAGACUCAUAGAUUGUAUUAUCAUAUUUGUUCCAAGUGGACAAAGUUUUGUUCAGUGAGUUAAUAAUAAUUUGAUCAAGGUAUAUAAAUACUUAUUCUCUGAGUUUUCUACAAUUAUUUGAGGUAUAUAGAUCUUUUAUUUCAUCAUUUCAUAUAAUUUGUUUGAUGUAUAAAACUAUUUUGUUCCGCGAGUUCGUAUAAUUUAUUCCAUGUGUAUACAUAUUUAUUUUGUUAGUUUAUAUAAUCUGUUCAAUAUGUACAAUUAUUUUGUUCUUUAAGUUCGUCUCAGGCGUGCAUAUCUGAAAAAUUUGUCAACUUGAUGACUAUUUUGUGCGACACGGUUAAAGUUUUAAAUCUUUCAAUGUAAUAUACUAUUGUUUGUAUGUUUUUAUUCACAUCACAGAAUCAUUUAUUGUUGAUAUUUAAUAUUUUAUUUUUUAUAAUCAUUUGUUGAUCAUUUUGUUUCUACGAAAUAAUAGCUCAAUUAUUUGUUCAAUUAAUAUUUCAUAUUAAAAAAUAUUUUUAAAAAAAAUCAUCCAAAAAAAUAGUCAAUUGGGGUUUUAUUUUGAAGAUCCUACCCUAAUAAAUCUAUUGGUGUAAUCAGAAUUUAAUUUGGAUGUUUGGUUUGAGAUAUAUGAUUUUUUUUAGAUUUGAAACUGCUUGCAUGUGGUAUGCUGGUAUGAUGUCAUCGGUUUUGUAAUUUAUGCAUGCAUGCAACAGGAUGAAAACCAUAAUCGAAAUCUCAUUUACGUGGCACGUUUUCUAAUCAUUUCCGUAUAAGUGAUAUCAUUUCUGACCAUUACCGUAUUUAAAUAUGAAUUUUUAGGAUUUCUUUUAUUACUAGGUGUGUGCCCAUGCGUUGAUAUGGGCAUAACGAAUUUUCGCUAUGAGCAUUAAUAUCAUACAAAAUAUUUGUAAUGAUAUGGAGAUAGAUGCUGUUCUAUGUACAUAUUCCAAAAUAUGCAUACGAAUUACUAGGUAUCUUGCAUGUAAACACAAUAUAACUUGGUGGAAAUUCAUCAGCUUCCUUUCGCUCCACUUGGACUCCCUGUGCGCCUCUGUUGUCGGCCUGCUUCUAUCGCCUAGUCGCUGGUAAGGUAGUCUCACUGUAGCUUCACGUUGACGUGCUACCAGCGGCAACCUCCUCGACACCACAUCUUGCCACCAUAACAUCUGCAUCAUCGCCCCCUCCUAGCAUUUACUUAGAUCAUUAAGUCUGUUUCAUAUUAGAUCGACAAAUUCAUUCCAACAUGUUAGCAAUCUUAUUAGUAAGCACUCAAUAUUUUGCAAGCAUCAUGAUGGAAUGAAUUUAAUGCACGGCAUGAUCUGUUAUAGAAUGAAUUUAAUCUCCCUUUUUCAAAAGAUAGUGUCCCUUCUGAAUUAUAGGGAAGUCGUUGACCCUUUUAGUUACCAUUACCCAACUGGCAUGAAAUGAAUUUAGAGUUGUACCUUAAAAACCCAGCCCUAAAAUUUCUCUCUCUAACAUACCAGCUUUGGAAGUUUCAUCAACCUGCAAUACAUUAUAAAUACAUAAUGUGUGGCGUGUUUUUGGCACUCUAAAAAUCAGAACAUAAGCUCUUUUGUGGUCUAAGCUUGACAUGAUGCAUUAGAUAGGAGCAUGGCAGGAGCAGGGUGAAGAGCUAAUCCCAACGAUCAGCACACCACAAAUUCUCAAGCUGAAAAAUGCAAAAUAACUGAAAAAUAUGAGCUGUAUCCCCGGAAUUUUACAAAACUAGAACACCUAUAUAGUUCUAAGCACGAUUCUCCCAUCAGCUUAUCACCUUCUAUCUCGGCGUGGCAGGUCUCGUAGGCGCAAGGAAGGGAGCAUUGCAUCAGUAAAAGGAGUUGCAAGUGGAACUGGGUUACAUACGUGCAGACAGAUAACAAUAAGAAGGCCAUCCAUCAUACCUGCUGUGCAUCAUGAGCAACUUAAUCUCAGCAUGUCAAGAUUAUGCAGUGUUUUUAUGAAAAUCUGUGAGAGUGCAUCAUACACCUUUCAAUCGUAUUUCUUCUUCAGAAAAAUCUUAUAGGAGAAAUGUAUGCAGGAGUUUGCACGGUAGAUUGGCUGACAGUGUAACUGCAACGCAAAAAGGAGUUAUAAGCAAAGCGACAGUUUCAAGGAGACUUUCCCGCAAUAACAUUAUUGUUGCUACUGAAUAAUUAAAUAGUGAAAUCGGCAAAAUUCCCGAUCAAUUGCAAUAGUUUCCGUAGAUGUUUUCAUCCCAGGUCAUGCACUGGAACAGUGAGACUGUAGCAUGCGAUGGCUGUAUUUUUUUCAAGGAACAGGAGGGGUUACUGAUUAGAUAUAUAUUAAAAAAAUAAACUAAAUAAAGUUACAAAAUAACUUCUCCUAAGGGUCUGAAGAAAUAAAGAAAGAAACAAACUGGGCUGUAAUUUUGUUUCCUCUUGUAAUUGGUGGGCUGCUCAUCACAAUCUUUUCGGUGACAGUAGGCGGCAUGUAUACACGCCCCGCGCUCUCCAGGCAAGAGCGACUCCACGUGCUGUAACGUUUUCCAUUUUAGCCUCCCUUUGGCACGGCUCAUCGAGCAGCUUCUCAAGCGGCUUUUGAUGAAGCCGUGCCAAACGGCAUGAGCGAAAACGGCUUCAGGGGAGAAGCUCCCGAAAUCGCGCUGAGAUGAGCCAUCGCACGGUAUGAGAGCCAAAAAAAACUGGCUCCGAGAGCCAAAAAAAAUUGGCUCAUCACGGCUUCUCCUCCAUACAUGGACAUGCUGCCCCAAAGUACCCCUCCUCCUCGUACCUGGAGGGCGGCGGCGGCGACGCGCUCUCCUCCUCGUACCUGGAGGGCCAGGUCGGCGGGUUGGCGGCGGAGGGAGCCAGGGCGGUGGGGUGGCGGCAGAGGGGCGGUGGCGAAGGGAGCUGGGGCCGACGAGGUAGCAGCGGAGGGUCGGAGGAGGAGGGUCGGGGCGAAGGAGCGGGUGCCGUUCGGAUAAGGAGAGAGGAGGGGGGAAAGAAAAGAAGGGAAGAAGUCGAUCGGAUAAGGAGAGAGGAGGGGGAAAAAGAACAGGAGAAGGAAAAGAGAAAUAAAAAAGGAAAGAAAAAUGAUGAGAAAAUGAAAAUGAAAAGAGAAAAAAAUAUAAGGGUAGUUUGGAUAUUUGACAUCUCAUUUCCAAUCUAAAACGUUAGGAGAAGUUGUUUUGCCAAACGUUUUCCUACUAAAUAAGUCAGAGAAAAAAAGUUGAUUUUCCAAAUAAGGUAGAGUAACUAUUUUUUCACGUGUCAAAGUCGUGCCAAGCGGACCUAGAACCCACGUGGACGACGUCAUCGUCGAGGAAGGUGGGCCUCGGCCGAACCUAAGCCAGAUUCAUGCUUUCGUUCGUCGCUGCCCCGAUUUAAAGCUGCGGCGGGGCCUACGUGAUGAUCCUGAACUGAACUCGAAUCGCAAUCACCUUUUCAGUGCUUCGCAGUUCAUCCUCUACUCCUCUAGGGUUAAUAAAUUCCAAAUCGAAGCGAACAGGAAUACUACAGGAUAAGCUUCCCAUCCUGCCGAAUUCCAGCUCAUGAGUUCGGUUUCAUCCCGACCGAAACUGCAAGACCCUCUUCUCUUCCCCUGCGGUCCGCGGACAGUCCAACCCGAAUCAGGCAGAGGCAACGAGGCAUGAGCGCCCACCGCUCCAUCGAUCUAUCUAUCUAUCUCUCUCUCUCUCUCUCCCUCCUCGAGCGGCUCGCGAUCGGCGAUGGGGGGAUGCUGCUGCUGCUUCCUCGCUCACAAGCCGCCGCGGGAGAACCCGAUGCACUCGUCCCGGGAGCCGCUCAUCUGGAGCGGAUCGGGCGCUGCCGGCCACCACCACCACCCAGCUCAGAUGGUCACCUACAGCGAGGCCAGUCCCCGAUUGCUGCAAUUCUCGUGUCGCCCGGCAGCAUUGUGUUGUUUCCCUUUCCCCUUGUUGUCUGACGGCUGCUGCUGAUGCUGCUGUGUGCACUGCAGGGGUUGGGUGCUGCAGAGAGAUUGAGGGCUGGGUUCAGGACGUUUAAGAGGACUAUUUAUGAGUGAGUAUGAUCUGACGCUCGAGGAAUUCUGUUUCUGGGUUGAGUUUGUUCCUGAUUCAGUUCGUUCUUUUUUGGUGGUGGCUGUUGGCAGUAAGAACCCCAUGCUGUUCGGGCCGCUCAAGUCUGCUCAGUCCCCAAAGGUAUGCACCAUCAAAUUGAUGCAUGAAAAGCCCUACAUUUGGUUGUUCAAGUAUAUUUAGGGUGUGAUCAUGCAUAGUGUAUAUCUGUUAAGCCUAGCUCGCUGGUAGUUUUUGCAAGUAGAGUUUUUUUUCCUAAAAAAAUGGAACUGCCUGUUUGGUAGACGUGAAUAGUCUGCUAUUACUUCUGCUUGUUGGUUGUUCAACCCACACUGCUUGUCGUCAUAGAAAAAUCUAUUGAAGAGAGUCUGAUUAUUAUUUUUUAAAAAAAAACUCUAGGUGUUGAAUUAAUUAUGUUCUAGAAACCAAACUUAUGGUCUCAUGCUUCUGUCACUGUUUUAUAGUGAUGGCCGUUUAGGAAAUCUCAUCAAUUGAUGCUGCAUGAAAAAUCAAAAGCAGAAAUUAAUCUGAAAUUCUUCAGUUAAGAAGAAAUUUGUCUUUACAAGAAAGGGCAAUAUAGCUUACUUCAGUUUUGGGGCAGUUUGUGCUGGACCAGCACCAAUUUCUUCAAGCAAAAUAGGUUUCAAUGUCUCAUCAUAACAUAAAUGAGUUGUCCUGGGCAUGUCAGUCUAAAUAAAAUACGUGUACUUUAGAUAUAUUGCACUUUGCAUCCAUCCCACGGGGCCAAAUCACAAAGCAUGGUGAUCCUCGUGCUGCUCUUGUACAACAACAAGAGUUCCAAGUGAGAGCGACAAAAGCUGAUUAUCAUCUAAAAUGCAAUUUGUGUCCAUAUUUCCCCAUCACCUGGUAUCCAAGCUCUUUAUGUGUUAAGAAAACUCACUGUCUUGAGGAUCGAGGACAUGUUCUUGCGGUUGGAGCAAUUUGCAAAAGCUGGGCCUCCAAAUACACAACACAAAUACGCUUGUGAUAUAUCUGUAAGAUGAGGCAAAUUGGUCUUUUCUUUUCAAGCUCCCAUCAUACAUAUCUUUACAUAGAAUCCACUAGGCCAUGUGUUCCUAGGUUAGUUCGCGGUUCAUAUGAUUUCAUUAUUGUCAACAUAGGAGGCCUGCACUAGCUUAUUGUCUGGAGGUAACCUACUGUCUUUGUGAGGUGGAACUUGAAACCAGGAGCUCUAGCAGAAUAACCAAGGACCGUAACAAUUUGCAUACUUUUGAUUGGUAUCAGUACUAUAUUCAUUCAGGUUGGCACACUUCUGAUGAUGAGAAGGAAAUGCAUAAAAGCACAGCUUCAUGCUGUUUUGUGUCUUCUUAUUGGCAUUCCUGCUUGUUUUUCUUGCCCGUCUUUGUCAGACUUCAUUCCUUUACCAUGCAACAACUUUGAUUGAUUUUCUGAAUAUGUUAGGCAGGAGGGAACAUGGAUAGUUCCACUUUGUUCUCUUGCGCUCUUUUCAGCAAAAACUGUGCUUCUAUUAUACCAAGGGUCUUUUUUCUCUGGCUUAAUGGUUAAUCUGUUCUUGCUUGCAGUACAUGGUGUUUGCGUGCUCUGACUCUCGUGUAUGCCCAUCAGUGAUCCUCGACCUGAAACCAGGAGAUGCCUUUACUGUCCGUAACAUUGCCGGCCUUGUUCCGGCCUACCAUCAGGUUCAUGCUUGUGGAGAAUAUUUUUCACAUUUUAAUUUCGUGAACUAAUAACUUUGGCCUGCACAUUUGAAGGUAUAACCAACUAACUUGCAGAUUCAUGUCUGACCACAGAAUAUGCACUCCAGCGUUGCUUCAGCCAUUGAGUUUGCUGUGACCAUCCUCAAGGUGAACUUCCCCCGUUUGACUUAUAGCACUCUUCUCUCCAACUCUCCGAACAUCCAUUUAAGUUUGGGGUCAAUUUUGUCAGUGAAUUGUAAGAAAAACUAAACAAAUAGCACAUAUGGCCAAUCAAAUUAACUGUUUGCACAGCAGGAUACUGUUGCAAUCCUCCCUAAUAGUUAGCAUGUUUUAAGAAGGUAAAUAUUGUUUAUCAUGUGUUGGUGUUCUAGUAUGGUAGGUUCAUAGCUUUUUUAUUUAGAAUCGUUAUGGUUAGUAUACCUACAUGUGUUUUCUUAACUCACUGUAAUCUGUCCACAGGAACAGAAAAGUUCUAGAAUUCAACAAUAUUGGCAGCUAUACUAUGUGCUCACAUAAUCUUGCCUUCUACAAAUUAUCAGAGGCGUGAUUUUCUUCUUACCAUGAAAGCACUACUUGAUACACGCUUUUGCAGGUUAAGUGCAUUGUGGUUAUUGGUCACAGCUGCUGUGGUGGAAUCAGGGAACUCCUCUCUCUGAAGGAAGAUAGACCUCAAACCUAGUAAGUAAUUGUCUUAAUCUUGCUCCAAAUUGAUCUGUCUCCUUUAUCUUUAUUUUACUGGUAAAAACAAAACAUGUAUAGCUGUAUAUGACAAAGAGGUCCAAGCAAAUGAGUUAGUUAAAACUUGACUCAAGCAGUUUGUACAGUACUAAUAUCUAAAGCUUCUAUGACAUCGUGUCUUUCACUCUUGUUCUAAUAAGUUGUCCUCUUUUCAUUUUAUCUCUUAGCCACUUCAUUGACAAUUGGGUCAAGAUCGGUCUGGCUAUCAAGAAAAAGGUGGAGCGAGAACAUGCCUUAUUGUCUUUUGAUGACCAAUGCACCAUGUUGGAAAUUGUGAGUAUUAAAAAAGUUGGUUUUCAGUACUUCAGUUUGGUGAUUUAUCUCACUGCUAACCACAGUGACUGAAAUUUCCCACAUGUACUAGUAGUUGUUUCCCAAUCAGAUUAGACACUGAUGUGGCAUUGUUUGCAUUUCUGAAUGCUGUGCAGGAGGCCGUCAAUUUGUCCCUUAGAAACCUGACGACCUACCCAUUCGUCAAGGACAAAUUGGGCAAGGGAACGCUCAAGCUGAUUGGUGCUCGCUACGACUUUGUCCAUGGCAGCUUCCAGACGUGGCAUGCCUGACAGCUGAGGUUAUGAAAAUGGCGCCAAUGUGUGUUGUAUAUAAAGAGUUAUCGACGUGGCAUUGCUCAGUAUGCAUGCAAAGGUGUUCUUUGUUUCAAGUUGAACAGCAAGUACAAGGGGGUGCGAUUCUAAUGUGCUGUGUGCACUCCAUACUUUGUAUUACGGGUGUAGAAAAAUAUUUCUACUCACGCUGGAGAUGAAAACUUGGCCCCGGUGUGCAGUUUUUAAUGGAUUCGGAACGUGUCUGAUUAAAGCUUGAUCUAUUUUUAGGGAAACUUUCAGGCCAGUCCCUGUUAUUCUGGAGAAGUUUUUACAUGUACGUGAUAACGUGAAUCCCAGUUGUCCGUGUCCACAUCUGGAGCAAGGUAAAAUGCUGUAUUUGAAAAGCGUGGAUGUGAGCUAAUACCUCUGGAAAAGCGUGGAUACUUGCUCAGGCAAGUUCUCAAAAAGAAGAAGAAGAAGAAGCUAGUACCUCUUGGCAAACUGGCAACAGAAACUUGUGAACAACCUGCAUGACUCGGUGCUGUGUUCAGCCUGACCUGAUUGGAUGCAUAUCCCAAUCGAAUUGGCUGAACCGAUUUGGUAUUUUCGCAGCCAAAGGUUGCCGCAGCUUAUAAAUUUUGGACAUCACCUGAGCUGCCCUGCUUCUACGGCAGGCUUGCAGCGGGUCGCAAGGCGGACCAGGAUGCUCGUGCUCGACGUCUGGACACGUCACGGCUACGCUGAGCGAUGACAUAUUGGCAUAUUGCCGCGGCCAGCCGUUGCUCUCUGCGACAGGGUGACCGUGCUGCCGUCGUGCGGAACCUCCCUCAUCUGCGGCAGGGCGGUGCGCGAGCUGCCAGUGCGGCAGUGCCCAGUGCCUCCGAUCCGCCGGAGCGCGGCGCGCCGUCGCGGCUCCCAAAGUUGCCUUUCGCUCGGCCAACGCAAAGGGGGAAACAAAUACACCAACCAGAGAACACGGCCGCAUAUCCCGGCGUUUCCUUUCGCGUCACAGCGUUUAGAACUUAAGCGGAACAAACACCACACGCAUGCGCCCGCGCGCUCUUCCCUCCUCGCCGCCCGUCUCCGCUCCUCCUCCGCCUCCCACCGAUGCGGCCACCGCCGCACCUCGCGGCCCCCUCCGCCGCCGCACCCUCGUCCGCCGCCUCCCACACCGGGCCGUCCCGGCGCCGGCACCGCCACCGCGGCGCGACGACGACGUCCUCCGUCGCCUGCUGCCGCGUCGCGGCGCUCGCGUGCCUCCUCGCGGCGGGCGCGGCCACGGCGCUGCUCACCCUCUCCCUGCCCUCCACGCCCGGCGCGUCCACCACAACAACAACUGACUUCACCGUACGAUUGUCAGUCGCGAACCAGCCGCCGCCACCAACGCAUUUGCCAGCGCCUCCGGCACCCGCCACGCCGCCCCCUCCGCCGCCGUCCCCGCCCGCCGUGAGGCGUCGAAAGCGAGAGGUGAGGCAGAGCUGGCGUGUUCCAAGAGUCAGUUUCUUCGCUCGUAGUGAUCUCAAUCCAUUCGCGUUCGCCCGUGUUGUUUUUUGGAUCAGCCGUCGUACUGGAGGAUGGCGCCGGAGGAGGCGCUUCGGUACGCCAAGAGGGAGAUACGCGACGCUGAGCCGGCGCUCGACGACCCUGACCUGUACGCGCCUCUGUUCAAGAACGUCUCCCAGUUCAAGAGGUAAAACCGGCGGUUCUCAUCCAAGCAAUUGUGGACGCAUGCGGUGCUUCUUCCCUUCCUCCGAAAAUGGAGGAGCUUCCAACUUUUUCGCGUGUUUUUUUGGCAUGUUCCUUGCAUAAUCGACGCCUGCUAUUGAUUCCAUUUCAUGUUGCCAUUUUUUGCAAAACAUAUCGUGAAUGAACUUUAAAAUUUUCUACGGAUUGCGGCAUUUUGUAUCCCGUGCAUUGACAAAACGCCUAUCAUAAUUGUAGCAAAUGUGAUCAUCAUCCAGGAGCUAUGAACUGAUGGAACGGAUACUCAAAGUUUACAUUUACCAGGACGGCCGGAGGCCCAUCUUCCACACGCCCCCGCUCAGCGGCAUCUACGCCUCCGAGGGCUGGUUCAUGAAGCUCCUCAAGGAGAGCCGCCGGCACGUCGUCGCCGACCCCAGCAAGGCGCACCUCUUCUACCUGCCCUACAGCUCCCAGCAGCUGAGGCUCACGCUCUACGUGCCCGACUCCCACGACCUCAGGCCGCUGUCCGUGUACCUGAGGAACUUCGUCAGAGGCCUCGCCAACAAGUACCCCUUCUGGAAUCGCACCAGAGGGGCCGACCAUUUCCUCGUCGCCUGCCACGAUUGGGUAAUACAUUAUAAGCUAAGCUCUCUCGAUCAAUACCACUAGAAUUCGAUCAAGCUCAAGAACUGAUCAUCUGAACGUGACCAUUACGUCUUGGGUUCUUGCAGGGACCUUACACGGCGACCUCGCACCGCGACCUCCGUAAGAACGCCAUCAAGGCGCUGUGCAACGCCGACAGCUCGGAGGGGAUCUUCACCCCGGGGAAAGAUGUCUCCCUGCCGGAGACGACCAUCCGGACGCCGAGGCGGCCUCUCCGGUACGUGGGCGGGCUGCCGGUGUCCCGUCGGGGCAUCCUGGCCUUCUUCGCCGGCAACGUGCACGGCAGGGUCCGGCCGGAGCUCCUCAGGCACUGGGGCGACGGGCGGGACGACGACAUGAGGGUGUACAGCCUGCUGCCGAGCAGGGUGUCCCGGCGGAUGAGCUACAUCCAGCACAUGAAGAACAGCCGCUUCUGCCUGUGCCCCAUGGGGUACGAGGUGAACAGCCCCCGGAUCGUGGAGGCGCUCUACUACGAGUGCGUGCCGGUGAUCAUCGCCGACAACUUCGUGCUGCCGCUGAGCGAGGUGCUGGACUGGAGCGCCUUCUCGGUGGUGGUCGCCGAGAAGGACAUACCGGACCUCAAGAGGAUCCUGCAGGGGAUCCCGCUCCGGAGGUACGUGGCCAUGCACGGCUGCGUGAAGCGGCUGCAGCGGCACUUCCUGUGGCACGCCAGGCCGAUUAAGUACGACCUCUUCCACAUGAUCCUGCACUCCAUCUGGUUGAGCAGAGUGAACCAGGUGGAGCUCGACGGCUGAAUUAUAGAAGACAUCGCUUAGGUUCUUGAGAUGCUUGUUGAGAGAUAUUUUUAGGGAUCGUCCCUUGAUUGAGCUUGGUUCAGUACAAAGUCUGUAAACAGAGGCAGGCUACAUUUCUUGGCAACUUCACUGCACCAAAAAAGGAGUGUCACAUGCAGCCGAGCUGCAACAGAACGACAAGGACGUAUCAUCUGACGUGCGUAGCUCGAUCUGACGUAUUACAGCGCAAUGACCGGUUAAGCACAGAAAAUUGACAUUGGAGAUGGCUGACAUGAACUAGUAGUAUAGAAACCUCUGCUGCUCUGCAUUCUAUAGCCCCUGAUAAAGCGUACUAAUUGAUGGCCCAGUACCAAAAGCAGCGUGUCGGAUGUAUACCUCCGGCUAAUCCGCAGCAAUAUUUACUCCAAAAUUGUACAACCGGUACUGGAUUCCAACAAAUCAACAAUGGCAUGGCGCGAUCACCCUACCCUGUCAGGCUCAGACCAUGCUGAAGAGAUUGGCCGUGGAGAUGAGCGCGUUGAGAGCGAGCAUGAGGAACCCGAUGAACGACAGCCACAGGGCGCUGCUGAUCUUCCUGUUGAAGGCGUCCGUGCCGAACCUCGACACCCACAGGUCGUUGCGAGACGCGGCCGCCGACGACGCCGACAUCAGGAGGUACGCCAGAACCUGCGGCAAGCGGCACGUCGCCGAACGAAGCACCAACGGGUUCAGUCAGUCGAGUCCCUUGUACAUGAGCGGUUUCAGUUCAGGAAUGAGUGGGGGCGGCGCACUGCACUUGCCUGGUCCAGGAACAGGCUGCAGUAGUAGCUUGGCCUGCUCCGGAAUAUGAACGUGGGUGAGAUCAGGCGGCGGAUCUCGCCGAAGGAUUGCGCGAUCGAGUAGGCGCAGACGAUCACGUUCACUGCGACGGCGUACCUGCCAUGAAUUUGCCAAGAACAGGAAUGUAACUUUAUUACUUUACCUUGAGAGAAUGAAAGAAGGGAAACAUCUGAUGAUCUGAAUGGACCGGAUACGAACUUGAACUCGACCAAGUGGUAUGUUAGGUAGAUAGAUAGUUUUUAGGUUGCUAGUUUUUAAAAUAUUCAAAAUCAUUACCCAGUUGCUCGAUUUGGUCCGAUGUGUUGCGCUCAGUUUAAUUUUCUUUUAUUUUCUUCUUUGUUUUUAAGAAAGAAAAUAUUCUUGUACGAGCACAACUCCCGUAACCGUCAGCAACCGGACACGUCCGACGAAACCGGCAAAAAGAAACCGCGGGAGGAGACGGAACGUGUGAGCAAGUGGCGAUCACUGACCUGUACUGCUGGUGGCGGGCGUGGGAGUCGCCGGCCCACCCGGACGUCCGGGCGCUGGCGAUGACUGAGAAGGCCGCGAGGCUGAGCGCCGCCGUGGCCAGCCGCAGCGUCACCGACAGCGGCCUCCUCUCCCCGACCGCGGCCACGGCCGCCACGUCGGGGGGCACCGAUCCCCCGUUCUCCGCCGCCGCCGCCGCCGCGUGCUGCUGUCGCUGCUGCUGGCGGUGGUCGAGCUGCGGCUUGCCGAGGCGCAGCGGCGACGUGACUGCCUCCUCUGCGGGGUCGAAGUGUGGCACCGCGAUCGCCGGUGCGGCUGCAGGCGACAGCGGCGGCUUCCAGGUCUCCGCGCGCUGCUUGGGCGUGCUCUGGCCGCUCUUGUUGUUGAUGUUGGCCGCGGGCGCCGGAGUCAGCGGCGAGGGCGGCGUGGGCGACGGCGACGGGGACGGGGACUUGGUCGCGAGCGACCCCUGCGACGGCGUCCGGAGGAGCCCCGUCGCUAGGCGGAGCUGCGGGCGGGCCGGCGCCGCAGCCCCCGCAGCGCCCCCUUCUUGCCCGUUCUUGGCGGAGGGGGAGGCGGGCGGCGGCAGGAGGUGCGGCGUGGGGAGGCGCACGGGCGAGAGCGGCGGGCUCUUGGCGGGCGCCCCACCUCUCCCGUCGCGGGGCAAGCUGGCCUGCUCCCGCGGCGACGCGUCGAGCGACGGGCUCCUGGUGGGCAUUCCUCCUCCCCUCCCGUCGCUGGGGAAACUUGCCUGCUCCCGCGGCGACGCGUCGAGCGACGGGCUCCUGGUGGGCGUUCCUCCUCCCCUCCCGUCGCUGGGGAAACUUGCUUGCUCCCGCGGAGACGCGUCGAGCGGCGGGCUCCUGGCGGGCGCCCAUCCCUUCCCGUCGCUGGGCAAGCAGGCCUCCUCCCGCGGCGACGAGUCGAACGACGGGUUCCUGGUGGGCGUUCCUCCUCCCCUCCCGUCGCUGGGGAAACUUGCCUGCUCCCGCGGCGACGCGUCGAGCGACGGCGGCGGCGUGUGGUACUCCUCCCCGGGCUGCGACGAGGGCGACGGCGACAGGGGCGUCUCCAGAGGCGGAGGAGGAGCGGGAGCGGGCACGGGCGGCGGCGGCCUCUCCGGCGCCGGCGUCCGUGGCGUCGACGGCAUGGUGCGACACCGCGCGCGGCGGGUGGACGGGUGGAAGGAAGGGAUCAAGCGAGGAAGGGUCAGGGGAGGAGUGGCCGUGUUAUGUAUGUGAGGUUACGUGUAGCUUUCCCAUGUUUAUGCGCUUCCUUCCUUCCGUCGCCGGUCGCCCCCCCUAUCUCUCCCUCCCUCGCGCUUUGCUCUGCAACCUUUUCACCGCCGCCGAUCCAUCCGUUGCUGCCUCCGCGCAGAGCACUCCAAGCCGCAGCAGCAGUUAGCCAGUUACAAAUUACAAUCUUGUCAGUGGCCGCAGAAACGGCGUUGUGCCGUGCCACGCCAAUAAAACCGAACACGAUCAUCUCGAUUGCGUCGGGAAUCAUGGCCGUUCCCUUUCCCCUGAUUUCGGGUUCAUGCAAGGUGACACGGAUCGAGGGGAGGAGACACAGGUCAAUUAGAAACGUUGGUCGCGACAUCAUGCUUGAUUUUGCUGGGCUGGCAUCGCAGAAUCAUGGCGCGAUGGCCAUCCUAAAAAAUAAUUGCGGUGUCCACGUCGUCGGUUGGCGACUGGGAACCGUCUUUGCUGGGGCACACAAAUGGGCAGUCAACCUAUCAUAUUCUUGGCGGCUCUUGUUUCGUUUGCACAAGUUGGAGAGGGAGUAGGGUAGGGCGGAAGACCUAUCUGGAAAUACAGGCAGACACCAUGCAUGAUCAUCCAGCUUAAUCGAACCGCGUCAUCAGCAAAUGAGGUAGUUGUCGAUUCCCUUUUGCUGGCUUCACAUGAACGCUACGGAGCUUGAAAACAACAUCUGUCUUGCAGAACCCCACUGGUCUUCAAUUUCUAACACCCAAGUAGCAUCAACUACCAUAUUCUUGGGGGAACAAAACAUAUCUGCACAGGAACACAGCAUAUAUGCAGGAAUUAUGUAUAGGUGCCUUGAAUGAGGUUUCGUGGAGGAUCUUGGGCCAUGAAAAGGAUGGGGCUACGCUAAUUUAGGCACAAGAAAAGAAUUAGGUUCAAAGUGGGACCUGAUGUUAGAACGUCGCAGCCAGCGCAUUGCUAUCGUCGCGAGGCAGCAGAAUAUUCUCACUAAUUCACAUGAAUUUCGAACGCGACGAAUUCACAUGAAUUUCGCAGAACAGCAGUUCGUUUUACACGUGAACGUGUCGUGUGCAAAUAUGUCUCCAACUUGACAAAGAUUUCCCACGAAAGAAAAACAAAACAAAAGCAUCAUUCAGUCAGCCAGUAAUGCACUAGUGCUGCGGCGGAACGUGGAAUAUCCGGGGCUCCCGGUAAAGGCAGAGCGCGAGCGUGUAGCGUGUCUACCAGUUCGGCAGCAGCUUAGUGCUAAAGACGCCCAUGAUGCGCAGCGUGAUGGAGUUGCUUUUGGGAAAAGGAGGCGCUUUGAUCCGGUGGGGGCUUGUGCUAGAUUUUUCCGCUUUCCUUUUUUUCCCCUUUACCUUCUAGGGUGGCCAGGUGAGUUGGUGCCAUGCACACCUUAGUGGUUAAGGUAUCUCACUCAGGCAAGCCAAACCUUGUAGGCCUUCAGAUUCUUUUCUGCCAUUCCUGAUCACCGAUCCAUAGAAGCUUUUCGAAUCACCAGUAACAACAGAAUUUAGCUUUGGCGACUCAGAUCGCAGAAUGAGCUACGCGGAAACGCCAAAUGUCACGAACCCAAAGCUGCACGACGCAAUGCUUUGUAGCUUUAAGCUUUCUUGAGCCGCACGGCGUUGGUAAGGUAUCAGAGUGCAAACUGCAACAACUUGCUACUCCCUCCGUUCCUCCGUUCCAAAUUGUAGAUCGUUUUAGCUUUUAAGGUUUAUAAAUAUUAUUAAGCAUCUAGAUACUGUGUACGUCUAGGUGCAUAAUAAAAUCUAUGAACCUAGAAAAGUUAAAACGACCUACAAUUUGGAACGGAAAGAGUACAAUCUUAUAUGCUGAACCAGCUGCGAGAAAUACCCAGUUUAUAAUAUUCUUAUCAAAUGCUCGAUUAGGAUACAGUGAUACACCACGAGUCAGCAGAAGCAUCACCAUGUCAAAAUGUGUUCUUACGUAUCCAGGCUCAGAUGAAGACCAGGUUCAGAUGAAGACCCACCACGUUGAUUAAAUUUCGCGAAAUCAGAGCAGUCUCCAGAGAUGGCAUAACUUCAACUUACUACACCUGCAUCAUCGAAUCUUCAUCCCGGACCAGUUACUUGUGUUCAUCAAGUUGCUAAUGACUGUACUGUUUAGCAUCACAAGGCGACCUGAAAUUUCUCGGGUACACGGAGCAGAGGUAGCUGAUAGUCUCCAGGCUCUCCUAGCUGCCCGCACGCAGCCAUUUGAUCAUCCCCUCUGCUGAGCCGAACAAAAACUAUAAGGCCACCUUGAAUUAAAACAUUGCGGAACUCGAGUAUCUUCUCAUCGGGUGUGGGCUUGAAUUGGGAACCACUGUGGGGAUUGAAAGAAAUGAGGUUGAUCUUGCAAGGGAUCCCUUGGACAAGCUCUAUAAGCCUCUUCGCAUCAUCCAUACUGCAAGGACAGUUAAUCCAGCAGAAAGUGUCCAAUUUAGGUCAAGCAGAAACUUAGUUAACUGUGAUAACUUCAAAAAGGCUCAUACUGAAAAGGAUUCAGUUUGCCUAUGGAUUAAUGGUAACACUAGGUUAAUACAAAAAAGAAAAAGAAGAUCCAAUGUUUCAAUUCGUCUACCAAGCUAAUGAUUACAAAAACAACAUGAACUACAGACUGUGACUACUGACUAGUAGGCCUAAAUGUAUGGUUUGACCAAAUAGGAAAAGAAAAGCUUUCUGACUAAAAGGAAAAACGUCGGCCUUUUGCAAGUGUUAAAGAAAAAUGCAUGCAGACCUUGACACUUAACAGAAAGGGGAUUUUAUAUGUAACCUAUGCUAGUAGAUUCAUGAUAUACCACUAAGCCCCCAUAGGCGGAGAAUUAAGAUACUGCUUAACAGAAAGGGGAUUUAUAUGCAACCUAUGAUAAUAGAUUCAUAAUAUAUGACUAGACAGAUAAAGUAGGCAAAGACACUCUUCAGCAUAUUUCUCACCUGUCGUUCACUCCAGAAAGCAUGACAUAUUCAAAUAGAACUCUGUAAUUCUUUCUGAGGCAGACUUCCUCCCUUAAGGUGCCAAGAAGCAAGUUAAGAUUGUACUUUCUGUUUAUGGGCAUUAUCCAGUUUCUAACCUGCAAAACAAGUUUAUUUACAUAUCAGCAAAAAAAAAUGGCAAACCAAAAAAAAA
rnacentral:lncRNA from 1 species